AUACAUGCACAAACAGAAAGAUAGGAGGAAAAAAAUGAAGGGCAAUUUGUUGUAUUUUUAUUAGCGGUGCUUCCCUAAAGGCAGCAAAAGAAGUGAAGGGUAAAAGCCCCAUGAAAGGCCCUGGAGGAAAGGCAGGUCACCUCAUUGAAAGGCCUUCUGUAUAGCAACCUCUGAGAGAGGGAAAUCUGCUCAUCUCUCAAACUAAAUGACCUAUCUUUCCUAGUUAUGGAAGCAUGGUGGCUCACCCACCCCCCAACCCCCGCCCCCUUCUUCCACAACUCCCCCUUCUCUCUCUUUCUCUCUCUCUCUGUAGAGACUGUUCAAAUAUGAGGGAAGCGCUCUCUCACACAUACACAUUCAUUUCAGAGCUUUGUGGGAAGAUAAGCAGAAGGAGGUUGCAGUGACCGAGAGAGUGUUCAAAUAUGGGGGGAGGUAUUGGCGUGCCUCAAUUUAAAGACAUGGUUAGAUGAAGAGAUAUUAGCCAUGUGAUUUGAUUGAGCCGCGUCAAUAUCUCCUUUUGCACCUCUCUUUCUCCCUAUCUCUCGCCUUAAAAAAUCCACGUGUUCUCUAUGCAGAUAUAUGCAUGCAUAUAAACACAUCAAAAUCCAUAGGCAUGAUCUGUUGUAUUGAAUCAAUGAGAGAACUGGGACUAGAGAAUUGACUGUUUGAAGAACAGAAAGGAAGAAAGAGAAGAGUUCAAAAGAAGGCCCUUCUGUUGGUAAAAUGGGAUCCAUGUCUAUCUCUUUUCUUGGGGUACAUGGUAUCCUUGUUAGAGGACAGCUCUGACCCCUUUUAAACCACUGUUUUGGCCACAUUCGAUAAUGUCUUCUCUAGCAUAUACAAUUAGAAUCUCCAUAGUGCAAUUUCUUCAUAUUGAAUUACUCUACCAUAGGAAAACUAGUGACCCUUAAGGGUUAGUUUUGCUGCUUUCUUAGACCCUUGAAUAUGGUUCUUUUCCUAUGCCUUGCCAUUCUUCAAAUUGGAGUUAAGAGCCCAUAAAAAAAGGAACAUUAGCAUAUAGUUGAUACCAUGUAGAUCAGCUCCACCUUCGUUAGGGUUCAUCCUUUGCAAUUCCGAGUCCCAAAGGUUAUCAAGGGAGUAGGUAAGAAGGGUGCAUCAUGUAAUUGUUUGCUAUUCCACUCAAGAAUAUUUUAUUAUUUUGGAGUAUGAAGAGAUCAAAAAUAAAAAAAGCUUGCAGAUCACUUUCAUAUAAUGGGUUCCAAGAACGAAGUAUUAUACAACUUGUCUCUCAAAAAAUCCAUGGAGAACUUCGUAUAAAGAAGGAGCUGCAGCUUCUCACAAACCAUGCCAAACUGAUGCAGCAUCAACAUUUGCAGACCGUUGUAGCUUACUUCUUGUGUAGCUUUUUAUAGAAUUAAGUAGUGAAAGAAGGUCAUGGCCCUAAUUUGUAUUUUACUAUAGUCAGUCACAAGGGCUUCUGCCGAGUUUUGUGAUCCUAAGUCAUGGACGAAAGGGUUGGCUUGGGCUAUUGAGGGUCCACCUUUCCAAGUAUAAUGGCAUGUCAUAAUUUGACCUGACUUUUCCAGUUUUGAGUACAGUACUGGAAGAGAGACAUAUGGAGGGGGAGAAAUCAAAGAAAUUGAAAGCAGAAACAGACACCGUUGAAUGGUGGAAUCA